GACGAACGCUGGCGGCGUGCUUAACACAUGCAAGUCGAACGGAAAGGCCCUGCUUUUGUGGGGUGCUCGAGUGGCGAACGGGUGAGUAACACGUGAGUAACCUGCCCUUGACUUUGGGAUAACUUCAGGAAACUGGGGCUAAUACCGGAUAGGAGCUCCUGCUGCAUGGUGGGGGUUGGAAAGUUUCGGCGGUUGGGGAUGGACUCGCGGCUUAUCAGCUUGUUGGUGGGGUAGUGGCUUACCAAGGCUUUGACGGGUAGCCGGCCUGAGAGGGUGACCGGCCACAUUGGGCCUGAGAUACGGCCCAGACUCCUACGGGAGGCAGAAGUGGGAAAUAUUGCACGAUGGGCGGAAGCCGUAUGCAGCAACGCCGCGUGCGGGAUGACGGCCUUCGGGUUGUAAACCGCUUUCGCCUGUGACGAAGCGUGAGUGACGGUAAUGGGUAAAGAAGCACCGGCUAACUACGUG
rnacentral:rRNA from 1 species